UACAGAGGCCACAAGCGUUAGACGGAAUCACUGGGCUUAAAGCGUGUGUAGGCGGGAUGGUAAGUACCUUGUGAAAUCCCACAGCUUAACUGUGGAAAUGCUUGGUAUACUGCCGUUCUUGAGUCACCUAGGGGCAGCUGGAACAGAUGGUGGAGCGGUGAAAUGCAUAGAUAUCAUCUGGAACGCCAAUGGUGCAGACAAGCUGCUGGGGAUGUACUGACGCUGAGGCACGAAAGCCAGGGGAGCAAACGGG
rnacentral:rRNA from 1 species